CGGUAGUUGCGUGUCUUCUUCGAAAGACCCUGUUCCUUCUACGAAUUGCUCGUAGGUAGACUUUUCUGGGAAAGGUCGUGGACCAAGCAGUUCGAUCAUGUCGUUCCGACUCAAGAUUUCUUGUUUGAGAAGACGCUCUGCUACCUAAAAGAGUCGGCCAUACUUGCAAACAAAUUGUCCGAUACGAUGGCGCGGUGCUCGCUAGUCUUCGGCAGGGGUCUCUACUCACCACCAGCGGUGGGGGCUUGACAUGAAGCAAUAGAUUCCUCCAAUAUUUGAAUUCGUUGCGAAAAAUGAUUUGGAUUCCUGAGACCAAAAUACAUAGGAUUAUCAUGGAAAACUCCAUGAAAAAAAUUCGGAAUCAUCAUCUCAAAUUUUGAGAAAACUCCAAGGCUAUAGGCUUACCGUUUUUUUGGGCUAAAAGGUGAAAUAUUUGCCAGAACAAUUCCAGGACGCUUAUCUGAUGUAAAAAUGCACAACGAACACGAAGCCGUCCAUCAAAUUGAGCUGGCAUCCAAUCCCAACGGAGGGCCUUGAGGCAUCGAGAUCACUGAGUCAACGGUGGCACCACACCCGCAUAGAAAAUACAAGACUAUCCUCGAUGCAUUUACACCACUGGACUUUACAAUAUCCUGUAGUUUGGUGAUCUAUACUUCCAAUUAUUAUGUGUUUCGAGUGAAUAAUUACGUAGAAAUGAACGAUAAUGUAUACCUCUUGUAUCUUAGAGAAUAAGAAAUGAAUAAUUGAAUAUUAAUUGAAAUGAAACUAUCGUCCAUACUCUUGUAACGCAUUGAUCAUAAGUAUACAAAAAUGAAUUUAUAUUGUUCAUUGCAAAGUCUCAAUAUGUAUUCUUGACGAUUGAUUUAUUAAUAAAAACUCUCUGUAACUAAUA